rnacentral:lncRNA from 1 species
CCUUUAUUGUGACUGCACUUUCUAUACCAUUCUGUGCUUUGUUUAUCUGUCUGCAUGUCACUUAACAGGCCAACUUCCAUAACAACAAGGGCAAUGUAUCAUGAGGGAUUAGUGCAGAGCUUACCUGCAGCAUGUAUAAAAGAGAUUUGUGCUGAAUUUAUUCACAUUACCAAUAAUGUUCAUAUAACACACUUUAACUAGAUUUUGACCCCUGCAAAAAUAACCCAAAAAUGAAGUCCUCUUUUCCUGUGGCUGAGGCUUGAAACCGAAUCAGAAGCAUAUUGCUCUGGCUUCUCUUCAGUGAAAUUAAAAGAAAAAGGUUCAGUGUAUGAUGGAUGUUUUCAGAGAAAGUACUUGCAUUUUUUAUAAUAUAAUGCCAACUGUAUCACAAUCUCUAUAAAGGUGCAGACCAUGUCCAGCCUAUUUGCCAAUGACACCAUAUUACUACUGCAUGAUGAUAAAGUCAGAUAUUAUUACUCAGAGAUGGUUUUGCAGAAAGUGCUAGUCAGAGGGACAGAAAAGACAUGGGAUCAGCAAACUGGCUUGACUCAGAUGUGUGAGGAUCAGGAGCUCUACAGUCUGACAAGAAUACCAGGAAGAAUGAAAAAGGAGAAACCUAUAUAAUAAUUAACUUGGGUGUUUCUAACUUCUUCAACAACAUAAAAUUAUUCCUCAAGAACUACAGAAUGAAGAUGAAAACAUGAUUCAUUCUUCUUUUCUUUCAAUUAAAAAAAGCUGAAAUUAACAUCAAAAGGAUUGUCUAGAAGUUGUAAUUAUGCUUUAGCAAG